AAGGGUAUAGCUCAGUGGCAGAGCACAUGCUUAGCAAGCACGAGGUCCUGGGUUCAAUCCCCAGUACCUCCA
rnacentral:tRNA from 1 species